rnacentral:piRNA from 1 species
UCAGUGCGUGCAAGUUCUAGCCAGUGUGGU